UAUAAGUAAAAACUGCUUAUUUCAAAAAUAGGUACAAGUUUAGGUAUAAAUAAGCAGAAAAUAGACAAAUUUUGCAUUUGGAUGAAAAUUGGAUUGUUCCUAGGAAUAAGGUAAAUAGUGUUUGGAUAGUUAAAUUGGAACAAAGAAAAUAAGAGUUAUAAUUUUAAAUUAAAAUUAUUUUAUCUAAUUAAUUAACAUCAAAAUUUUACAUAAUAAUAAUAAAUUAAUAUUAAUAAUUAUAAAUAAUAAAUUAAAUAAAUAAAUAAUUAAUUAAUUAAUUAAUAAUAAAUAAUUAUAAAUUAUAGAUUAAUAAUAAAUUAUUACUAAUUAUCAAUUAUUAAUUAAUUAAUUAAUAAUAAAAUUAUUAGUUAAUUAUUAAUAAUUAUAAAGAAUAAUACGUUAAAUAAUAAAAUAUUAAAUAAUUAAUGGUAAUAAAUUAUUAAAAAUUAUAAAUAAUAAAUUAUUAUUAAUUAUAAAUGUAACACACUGAACUUUAGCAAAUUACAAGGUUCGAGUGUUUAAUUGGUGUUUUGAGCCUUUUUGGGUUUUCUGCAUGGUCGUUGACUAUAUUCCGACCUAUGACCCGCAUCCCAAGAAGCGAGGACGAGAAU
rnacentral:lncRNA from 1 species